GAGAAAAGGACAAAAGGUGGGCACUUAAAAGUAGAGAAAGGACAAAUGAAAAAGUUAUGAAAAGACAAUGAACAUUAAAAGAAGACAGACAAAUCCCACACCCAAGCUUCAGCCUCAUCUCAAUUUCAUAAAUACAAAUACAUUUUUUUCAGCAAAACAACAAAAACAAAAGAGAUGGUUUUCGGGUUAUCUUUUGUCUUUGUUAGGGCGUGCUUGGACGUUUCCUUCUUCUCAGAAUCAUCGCUUUACCAAAACAGCCUUUUCUUUUAACAAAAUUAAAUAAACUUUUAUAUUAGAAAAUAAUAAUAUUCCAUAUCCACCUCAUGUCCAGACAAAACUCUAUAAAAGUGGGGGUUCCCAUCUCGAAUACAGACAUACAUGUUGUGUCGGUAUAUGCAUUUAUAAUAAGAUAACUCCAAAAUGUAUAAUGACAAGUGGGUUUUCACUGAACUUCUUAUUUUCUAGUUUUCUCUAAAUCAAGAAUCAUAAU
rnacentral:lncRNA from 1 species